GAUGGACAGGUUGGUAGUACCAAAAGAAAAUAUUGUUUUGAUGCGAAGGAAACUUAUUAGUAGCUCGCAAAUGGCGUUACCAUGUGUGGGUACGGGAACGACAACGUUCAAAGCACUUAUAUAUAUAUAUAUAUAUACUGCUAAACUAAUGUAGAGUUUAAAGAGGAGCAAGGGAUGAUUACGAUGGAAGAGAUUGUUUUUCCGGAAAAACCUGCACUGAAUUCAGCUGUGUGCAAUGUAAUACGCUGCAAAUUGAGCGUUACAUGCAAAUAAUGACAAUGCACCCAGGUUAAGCGUUGAAAACAAAUUCUAGAAGCAUUGCAAAAGCAGCAAAGUUAAAGGCAAUUCAUUGGCAACAUAUGAAGUGGUAUAGGACCUAAUGGGCACUAUUGACAAGGUGUGAGUAUCAUGCUCACCAUCCAAGAAUCACACUCCAGGUAUGAUGGUGAAAUAAUUUAAUUUUUUUUGUAGUUUUUGUUCUAGACUUCAGAAUUUGAUAUAUGGAGUAAUUAUCCGACUAUAAUAAAGUAGCUUGAUUGCAUACAUCAUGUGGAUAAUGACGGAUGCUUGAGGGGGUGGGGGUUGGUGUCCUCACUUCUCAACAUUUUUUUAAAAUCCUUUAGUAUGUAUGGUACCUUAUUACAAUACCUUAUUAAAACAUUUGACCAAUUAUUUAUUUUUGCCCUCCCAAUAAUUUUUUUGAAAAUUUAUUUUAGACUCUAUAAGAAUUUUUAAUUACUUUCGUUUGAAAAAAAAUUCGAAGCGAAUAAAUUUAGUAGAUAUGAAUGACUAAUUAGCCCAUUUAUAGUAUAAAUUCAUUUGUUAGUAACUAAAAAAGUAAAAAACCUUCUAAGCAUUUGGGCUAAAAAGGAAAAACCAGGCUGAAGUUGAUUUUUCUGGAAUAAAUGAGAGUCUAUAUUUAUUUUCAUCAUUUCACUUGUUAGACUAGAGUCUACAACAAUUCAAUAGAACAUUUUCAAAAUCUUGUUUUUUUCUUUUAAUUUUAAAAAUAAAAAAAUCAAUAAUAGACUAAAUAAAAAUAUCAAAUAAAUUGUAUAAUAAAAAAUAAUAAUUUAAGAAACUAUAGUAAAUUAUCGCUUCAUGCAAGUCUUAGACAGACUAAACUUUAAAAUAUUAUAUGCUUCUAUUGGUCAACCGGCCAACCAUCUCCUCUCUUUCAAAGCUUCUUAUGUUUUCCUUAGUUUUGGUUUGUACCCUCCUCCCUAAAGGUUACAAGGUUAAGUCCACCACUUGCAUGGAGAUAGUGAUGCACAUAAGAAAAUUACCUAGUCUACACCCAUCAUAAUGGAACAGAAGGCAGAAGCCGAUGUGCAUUGAUUAUGCAAUCAAGAAAUUAGAUUGCUUGAUUGAUUUUGAUUUGCAGUUCCACUUUAGUGUGCAAGAUAAGAUUUAAGGAGAAAGUUCUAUUUGGUCUUACCUAUUAUGUGUUUAGUUUAUUUCUACUUUCAUCUUUUCUUUGCCUUCAGAUUGUACAGCUGCUGAGAUUUAUUGUAAAAGAAAUGCAAUGAGUGUGCUAAAAAGGCAAUGUGGCUAAUCGAUUGCAGAGAGCAAAUCGUUUCCUUCCCUUUCAAUAUUUUCGCGUUAGGUCGUUCCCUUGAUUGCUAUUUUUCAUCAAGGAUGUAUUUUUUCCAGCUUUUAAAUUCACGCUGUAUGUGAAUCAAGGUGUUCUAGUAUUUUAUGAAUCCUUAUGAUGGCAAAUGUAAAUAAAAUGCUCUAUUUUGAUUUA